rnacentral:misc_RNA from 1 species
GAUGAAGAACGUAGCAAAAUGCGAUAAGUAAUGUGAAUUGCAGAAUUCAGUGAAUCAUCGAAUCUUUGAACGCACAUUGCGCCCGCCAGUAUUCUGGCGGGCAUGCCUGUCCGAGCGUCAUUUCAACCAUCAAGCCUCGUGCUUGUGUUGGGGACCUGCGUCCGACGCAGGCCCUGAAAACCAGUGGCGGGCUCGCUGUCCACACCGAGCGUAGUAACUAACCUCGCUAUGGAGUGGCGCGGGCGCCUGCCGUAAAACCCCCAAUUUCACAAGGUUGACCUCGGAUCAGGUAGGAAUACCCGCUGAACUUAAGCAUAUCAAUAAGCGGAGGA